rnacentral:lncRNA from 1 species
UGAGUUUCAUGUUUUUAUGAAUAUGUGUGCAGCCAUGGUGAUAAUUUCGACUGGGACUGAGAGAAGGCAUAAGGUAAAUGGUAGUUCACACUAUUAAAGAAAAGCACAAGGUAAUGCAUUUUCUCUCUCUGCAGGACAUGACUGGAUCACUUCCUCAAACUGAAGAAACAAAAAAUGGACAUCUCCUCAUCUAUGACUGUCAGUCUCUAGAAAUAUGAUUAGAGUCUGGAACCAGCCUGGAUCUCCUUUUUUGUUACUGGCUCAUUGUAAGGGGUUUAAUCUGGAUCACUUGAGCUGUUCGACGUGGCACCGCGAUAACGAUAACUUCAUCAUUAGACUCUGGAAGAAACUGCUUGGGUUCAAUUUCUCGUCAUUAUUUUGAAGUGAACCUCAAGCAUCAGUAUCAAUUUAUCCGUAAAUACUUCACUGUAUACCUUUAAAUACAAGGGCCAUUUUUUUCUUUCCAAACACAGCUGUGGUGUCAUUCACUAUCACAUCCAAAAUAUUGAACCAUAAUUCCUUUCAAUAAACAUCAAAUAAGCAGUCAGUAUUCAAAUAUCCGUGACUGUCUUGUACAUUUUUAAAUGUUUAGUUUGAAUCAGGACUCAAAUAAGAAUC